ACGGGAGGCAGCAGUGAGGAAUAUUGGUCAAUGGGCGGAAGCCUGAACCAGCCAAGUCGCGUGAAGGAUGAAGGUAUUAUGUAUUGUAAACUUCUUUAGACGUAGAGAAAUAAGGUGCUCGUGAGCACUGAUGCUAGUAUACGUAGAAUAAGGAUCGGCUAACUCCGUGCCAGCAGCCGCGGUAAUACGGAGGGUCCGAGUGUUAUCCGGAUUUAUUGGGUUUAAAGGGUGCGUAGGCGGGGGAUCAAGUCAGUGGUGAAAUGGUGCGGCUCAACCGUAGCAUUGCCGUUGAAACUGGUUUUCUUGAGUGCGAAUGAGGUGGGCGGAAUGUGUCAUGUAACGGUGAAAUGCAUAGAUAUGACACAGAACACCGAUUGCGAAGGCAGCUCACUGGGACGCAACUGACGCUGAGGCACGAAAGUGCGGGGAUCGAACAGGAUUAGAUACCCUGGUA
rnacentral:rRNA from 1 species